CAGCCGCCGCGGUAAUACAGAGGAUGCAAGCGUUAUCCGGAAUGAUUGGGCGUAAAGUGUCUGUAGGUGGCUUUUCAAGUCCGCCGUCAAAUCCCAGGGCUCAACCCUGGACAGGCGGUGGAAACUACCAAGCUGGAGUAUGGUAGGGGCAGAGGGAAUUUCCGGUGGAGCGGUGAAGUGCGUUGAGAUCGGAAAAAACACCAACGACGAAAGCACUCUGCUGGGCCGACACUGACACUUAGAGACGAAAGCUAGGGGAGCAAAUGGGAUUAGAUACCCCCGUAGUCCCUGUCUCUUAUAC
rnacentral:rRNA from 1 species